rnacentral:rRNA from 1 species
AUGGGCAAGAUGACUAAAACUCCAUUCUUCGGAACAAUGGAAUGCGCUACUGACUUAUUGGAAAUAAUGCAUACUGAUGUAUGCGGUCCAACGAGUGUUGAGGCUCGUGGCGGGUAUCAUUAUUUUCUUACCUUCACAGAUGAUUUGAGCAGAUAUGGUUAUAUCUACUUGAUGAAGCAUAAGUCUGAAACAUUUGAAAAGUUCAAAGAAUUUCAUAGUGAAGUGGAAAAUCAUCGUAACAAGAAAAUAAAGUUUCUAAGAUGUGAUCGUGGAGGAGAAUAUUUGAGUUACGAGUUUGGUCUUCAUUUGAAACAACAUGGGAUAGUUUCACAACUAACGCCACCUGGAACACCACAGCAAAAUGGUGUGUCCGAACAUCGUAACCGUACUUUAUUGGAUAUGGUGUGA